GUAGGUGAACCUGCGGAGGGAUCAUUAUUGAAUGGUCUUUGACCUUCUACCCUUAAAACAUGUGGAAGCCAAUAUCGUGCUUCGGCCUCCCUUUGGGGUGGCCGCUUUUAUGCAGAAAACUCAUAUGUCGUCUGAAUGAAAACAUUACAAUCAAAACUUUCAACAAAGGAUCUCUUGGCUCUCGCAUCGAUGAAGAACGCAGCAUCUGACUGACUCGGGCAUA
rnacentral:misc_RNA from 1 species